CAGGAUGAACGCUAGCGACAGGCUUAACACAUGCAAGUCGAGGGGCAGCGCGGAGGUAGCAUACCUUGGCGGCGACCGGCGCACUGGUGAGUAACACGUAUGCGACCUGCCCCGGACAGGGGGAUAAACCCGGGAAACUGGGCCUAAUACCCCAUAUGCCUUUUGGAUGCAUGUCCAUGAGGUGAAAGAUCCGUCGGUCCGGGAUGGGCAUGCGGCGCAUUAGCUAGUUGGCGGGCAACGGCCCACCAAGGCGACGAUGCGUAGGGGUUCUGAGAGGAAGGUCCCCCACACUGGUACUGAGACACGGACCAGACUCCUACGGGAGGCAGCAGUGAGGAAUAUUGGUCAAUGGGCGAUAGCCUGAACCAGCCAAGUCGCGUGCGGGAUGAAGGCCCUCCGGGUCGUAAACCGCUUUAGCCGGGGAGUAACGUGCGGGACGUGUCCCGCAGUGAGAGUACCCGGAGAAUAAGCAUCGGCUAACUCCGUGCCAGCAGCUGC
rnacentral:rRNA from 1 species